UUUUUACAAGUAUCUAAUCUUCCUUGCAAUUUUAAAUCGAGACCAAUCCAACACAACCAAUCAAUUUCAACAUAUUUUCAAGAUAGAUUUAACGUAUUCAUAAGAUAACCUCAUCACAUAACAAAACCAAAAUUUGUUAGCCAUACCAAUGACUAACCAUACAUUCAUUUCACAUUAACAUUUACUUUACUAGCUUAUACAUGCCAUUGAUUUCCAAAUUAAAGUUUCUUUAUAUACCGAGAUCUUGAGAUUGAUAGUGUGAUACGUCUCUGACCGAAUCCGACCUUCGAGCUCUUAACACUACAAAACAGGGGAAAAAGAAACAGGGUAAGCACUUUUUGCUUAGUAAGUUCAUGCAACAAGAAUUAUACUUACCUAAUAUUUUCAAUACAAUGCAAUAAACAUUCAUACACCAUUCCAUACAUUAUUCCCCUAUCAUGCACAAACUCAACAUUCAAAUUAGUCUAAUAAUUUCCAUGUAUCAAUAAUUUAUACCAUGAUUGAUGAGCUCAUCAAUUCCAUAAUUUCCAUUCCCUUGUUAUUUUUCCAUAUUUAUCCCGUUGAACUACUUGGAAUUUCGAUGGAUUUUUAGAGGUACACUUUAGUGUACAAAUCCGGGUCCGUCAAUUCAUAUUCAUGUGCGCACAUUUCCGUUUCAGAGAGCACACUCCCGCGAACCUCAUCCUUAUAGCGGGAUUACCAUUCCAGGCUAAAUCCCCUGUAAUAUAAAAUCAUAGAGUAUUGUCGGGAUUACCAGUCCAGGCUAAAUCCCCUGCAACGAGAAUUACUCUAAUGAGCUUGGAUCUGAAUUACCAGUCCAAGCUAAAUUCAGACCCUAAUUCGGAUUACCCGUUUGGGCUAAUUCCAUUUUCCACAUAUUCUUCGGGAGGGCUAUAUCAGGAUAGGAUCACUCGUCCGGGCUAGAUCCUUUUUACUGUCAAUUCCUUUUCAAAGAUCCAUCGAAUUUUCCUUCCAUUCAACCAGGAUUUCUUCUCCUUUUUAUCAAAUAUAUCAAUAUUUCAUCAAUUUACAUACAGUGAACAUUCAAAUCAUAUUCACAUCAAUAACAUACAUGUCAAGCAUUUAAGAAUAUAAUUCCAAUUACACGAACUUACCUCGAUACUUGUUCGUAAACAAAAAAAUCUACUAAUCCCGAACUUUUUCUUUUCCUCGAUCUAGCUUCGUAUUUGAAUUUUCUAGAUCUAAAUAAAUAAAUUUAAUCAUUAAUCUACUACAUUUCAUGUUAAUAAUAUCUCUUUUUAGGCUUAUUUACAAUUUAUGCCCCUCCUCAUUUAACAAUUGAGCUAUUUAAUCCUUCUAGUAACUUUUACACCUUUUUCAAUUUAGUCCCUUUUACUUAAUUGACUACCCAAACAUUAAAAUUUUCUAACGAAAUUUUAAUACCAUAUUACUAACAUUUCAUAAAUAUUUAUAAAAAUAUUUCCAACUCGAUUUUACAAGAUUGAGGUCUCGAUACCUUGUUUUUACCUAAUUUCUUUAAUAAUUUCUUUUUCUAACUAACCACUAAAUCGAUAAAAUUUUUCUAUCGAUAUUUUCAUACGAUUUUCCUAUCAUAUCAAUAUUUAUGCAAAAAUAUUAAAAUAAAUUUCUCUUUAAAUCAGAUUUGUGGUUACGAAACCACUAUUCCGAUAGCCUUGAAUUUGGGUCAUUACAUGAAGUGGCUUAUUAGUUUAUAGAAGAGAUGUCACUAAAUAAUUAUCAGUUGUAAGUCAUGAGGAUGAAGGCUAAUAGAGCAGCCGGUGUUUUUAAUCUAGAUGCAGUCACACUAUUAUCAAAUCAGGUAGAACAAUUAAAUAAGAAAAUUGAUGGUUUAUGUGUUUCUACACAGGUACAUUCGGUGAUGGAAUGCGAUGCAAAUGGAGGAGGAAUAAACAAUCUAGAAUAUUUACCCAACGGUCUUAACACAGAGAACAAAGAAAUCAACUAUAUGAGUAAUAAUUCUAGACCUCAGAAUAAUCCUUACAGUAACACUUAUAAUGCAGGUUCGAGGAACCAUCCCAAUUUCUCUUGGGGUGGUCAAGGAAACCAAGGACCACAACCCCAUCCAGGCUUUCAACCACCUUACCAACAAGAGAUAAAGCUGAACCUUGAGGAGAUGUUGACGAAUUUUAUUUCGGUGUUAGAAACCCGCUUCUAAAACACCGAAACAACGCUUAAAAAUCAACAAGUGUCAGUUCAAGGGCUCGAGAACCAAAUCGGUCAACUUGCGAAGUUGAUUUUAGAACGACCACAAGGUUGCUUGCCUAGCAACACCGAAACUAACCCAAGAGAGCAGCUUCAUGAAAUUACUUUUCGAGAUGAAGAAGGGUUAGUUGAAUCUGAGCUAGAACUGAGGCAAGAAAGUGUAGUAAGUAAAGGUGAGGUUGAGGUAAGCCAAAAUGAACAAAAAUCGGUUAGUAAAGAUUAUAAACCUCAAGUGCCAUAUCCUAAGGCGACAAAGAAAGACCACACAAACGAAUAAGUUGGUAAAUUUCUUAAACUUUUGAAAAAAUUACAUAUUAACUUAUCGUUUAUUGAAGCUCUUUCGCAGAUGCCCAAUUCUGUUAAAUUUUUAAACGUAGUUUGCUCAGCUAUUUUGCAAGAUAAAAUGCCCAAAAAAUUGAAAGAUCUAGGGAGUUUUACUAUUCCUUGUUUAAUUGGUAGUUUAAAGGUUAAUAAUGUUUUGGCUGGUUUAGGGGUGAGUAUUAAUGUCAUGCCCUAUAAAAUGUUUAAACAAUUAGGUCUUGGGAAACCCAAACAAACUAGGGGUAUUAUUGAAUAUGUACUUGUAAAAAUUGAUAAAUUCAUAUUCCCAGUUGAUUUCAUUGUUUUAGAUAUGGAUGAGGAUAGCGACGUACCUUUGAUUCUAGGUCGGCCCUUUUUAGCAACUGCCAGAACUAUUAUAGAUGUCGGUACAGGUGAAUUAAUACUCUGUGUAGGUGACGAAAUGAUUACACUCCAAGCUCGUGAUUCUGUUAAGACAAUUAGUGAUUGAGAUGAUUAUUCGAGUUCUGUUAAUAUUAGUAACCUUGUGGCUCAAAUUUCUUUGCAAGAAAUCCCUAGGAAAAAUGUGAUGGAGCCACAUUCCAGUCCAUGUGAUAAAAACAAAAUGACUAAUGAAGAACAAAUGCUACAUAUCAAUGAACUAGAUGAAUGGCGGACACAUGUCAAGGAGAAACCGAGAAUACACAAUGCAGAACCAAAGCUACACCAUAAUGAGCAUGUGGAUGGAACACACCAAAUUAAGGUUGGAGACAAAGUACUAUUAGAUAAAACAGAUCCUCGAAUUGCCACUUAAAAGCUUAAUACAAACGGAGCAACUCCUUUUAUGGUACUAAAUGUCUUCCCAAACAGUACAGUCGAGGUAAAUCAUUCUGACUUUGACACUUUUCAGGUAAAUAUUACUCGACUCAAACUUUAUUUUGAUAAUAGAAUUGACAGCAAGAAAAUUGAGUUUCAACUCCACGAAACACUGUGACCGUGCGAAUACGAGAUAAAUCGAGCUUAAACUUUAAAUAAACGCUUCUCGGGAGGCAACCCGAGAGUUAACACUGCUAAUUUUCUUAAUUUUAUCUCAUGUUAUUUUAAAUUAAUUAAUUUUGAAAAAAAACUGUUUUUAACCCACACAGCCUGAACACACGGGCAUGUCCAAGGCUGUGUACACUAAAAUGGUUUCGACAGUGAGUUACACAGCCUGGACACACGGGCGAGUCCUUGGUCGUGUGGAUCUUAAGACUUAGUUUUAAAAUUUUAAGGAAAUCGACAGUGAGUUACAUGGCUUGGACACAAAGGCGUGUCCUAGGCUGUGUGAAACCUAGAGCUAUUUUUUUCAUUUAAAAAUCAAGUCAGAGAGUUACACAGGCAAGACACACGACCGUGUGUGAGAGAAGGCUAAGCCUCACGGGCGUGUGGGAGUUCACACGGGUGUGAGAGAAGCGAAGGAGGUUGCACACGACUGUGCGAUACGGUCAUGUGUUCUAUACGGCCUUAACACACAGCAUGUCCAAGGCCAUGCGAAGACUGGGUCUACAUUUUUAAAAACGCAUACGGGCCUCACACGAUCAUGUCACCAUUAAAAACCCCAAUUCCCUUUUCAUUUUCUCUAUUUUGUCAUCUUUCCCAAACCCCUUAGCCAUAGUCGCCGCCGACCAAAUCUCCCCAUCUUUCCAGCCACCGUCGCCUUCGAACCACCCCACGCCCCUAAAUCCUUCGCCCUUCCUUUCCAUUUAUUUUCCUUUCUCCCAUUCUUAUCCCGUUCUAGACCAGCCCCAACCGACCUCCACCCUCUUGCCGACCAAGCCAGACCCUUCCCCUUCUCCUUUCCUCCCUUCGACCCCUACCACCGCUGCCGUCAGUCCUCUUUUCUUCUCCCUUGUUCUUUUUCUUUUCUUAUUAUUAUUCUAUUAUUAGAUUAUUAUUUAUUUAUUUAUUCUAAUUAUUUUAUUUUUAUUAGUUUUACUUAUUUUAUUUAUUUCUUUAUUUAUUAUUGUUUAUUCAAUUUCUUUACUGUUAAUUUUGUGUUUCUUCUUGAGUUCUGGACAUUUUUACUUUUUGUUUUGAUUUGAUUUGAUUUAUUUUUUUAUUUUUUUAUUUUUCAUUAAGCAGUAUUAUGCAUGUAAUUUAUUUUAGUUGAUUUUAUUUUGUUCUAUUUUCUUCUUACUAGUCUUGCUUCUUCAUUUUUAUUUUUGAUCAUUAUUAGCUUUAUUUAUUCUUACUAGGUUUUUGUUUGGUAGUAACUUUCUGAUUAUUAGUUUUAUUAUGUUCCAAGCCAAUAUGUCUCUUAGUCUAAUUGUUGAACUCCACUUAGAUUUUUCUUUCUUAUUCGCAUGCAUCUAUUAUGUUGAUUCGUUCAUUUAAUUUAUUUGAUUGUUUUAUUGUAGAUUCAUUAUGACGAACACACAUGGAAAAUCUAUGAUCGCCGUCCCCGCAUUGAAAAAGAGGAUGACCCCUGGUGCGACCUCCUCCUUAAGUGCCUCUGCCGAGGCUCGCCACCCUUAUCUCUUAUUUUCGGCAAUCCCCUAAGAGGAUUUAUUUCAACUCCUUCGAGUGCGACCACUCGGCCUAGGCUGAUGUAUUGAUUGGGCCGUGUUGGAGCAAGUCCAUCUAGCUGAUCAUGUGUGUGCCUUUAUUACUAUAGCUCCAUGGGACCGAUUUUUCUAUAUUAUCGAGCCCACAUACAUGGAGCUGACGUUGGAGUUUUGCUCGACAUUUACUCUUCAGCACAUGAUGGCGACUCAUGAUGCGUCAGACACCAUCACUUUCUGACUCUGUGGCUUGGUGCACCAUAUGAGUGUCCCCAAGUUUGGUGCUGUUAUGGGACUCUACAUUGGGGAGUUUAUGAGUAUCGAGAACUUCUUCCGCCUAUAUCGAAACAUCCACCACUUUCCAACUAGUUGUUGGACAGAUCUCACGGGGAGUAGAACACUUUAUAAUGCAAGUCGCUCAAAGGUGACUUCUCUCUCUCCAGCCUUACGGUAUCUUCAUGCCCUUUUAGCUCACACUUUGACUGGUAGGAGAGAAAGCACCAAAGUCGUCAGUAUUACUGAUGCUUAUUUUCUAUAGAGCAUAGCCACCGGACAUAUAUUUGAUUUGGCAUAUUUCAUCGCCUUAGCCUUCCGCCAUCAGAUUGAUCACCAUAGGAAGGGUCCCAUCUGUUGAGGCCCUUUUGUGACUCGACUUGCUCGACACUUCAGUCUCCUUGACACACUGGAGCUGUCCUCUACACUUACACUCGUCAGCCAGAUGUCCCCAUAAGGAAUCUCGAGCAUGAUCCAUAUGAGAAUGAUCGAGCGGCGUCGUGGAGCAGAUCCUUAUCAGUACUGAUUAGUUCAUUCUGACUCUUAGAAUAAACUCAAGAACUUCACUGAUAAUGUCCCCUUCCAUCACGAGGACCCACCUCAGUCUCCACCUUCGAGUCAUCGUCCUGUGUCUUCUGCUGCUACUUUAGUGGACCUCUCUAAGCAGUUCACUCGCUUCGAGCAGCACUGCUUUCAGAGGUUCGACAGUAUUGAUGCGACAUUACAGCAGAUCUGUCAGCAUUUCCAUAUCUCCUCCUCAACGCCAAUGAUUCAUGACACCGAUGCGUCUGAUGAUGAGGACUAUUGAGUCCAUUUGUUUUAUUUUAUUUUUAUUUUUAUUUUUAUUUUUAUGUUUAUGUUUAUUUUUAUUUUUAUUUUCUUAGACUUAUUUCAUUUUUAUAUGUUAAACUAUAAUUUUAUUUUCAUGGUUGUUCCUAAUCGAGUUUUAAUCCCUUAAUCUUCUUCACUUGUGUUUAUUUUCUUAGUAGUGUGCUUGGAAUCAUGCAUUACAUUUAGAUUUCACUACAAUUUCACUUUUCACUAUUCUGGGGAUUUCAUCCAAAAUUCAGGCAAGUUUUAGUUUUCUCCCUCUUUUGUACUAUUUUGUUUAUAUUGUGAUUAUAUUUGUUUGUACAUUAAGGACAAUGUACAUCAUAAGUGUAGGAAGGUUAUUUGUAUAAUUAUUAGAAAAUUCCUGAAUUAUGUCUCGUAUUUAAGUAAUUUUCUCAUACUUCUAUCAGAAAUUUUUUUUAUCAAUUUGUGGUUUUUAUUGAUGUGUUUUGGAUUAAAUUCAUAGGUAUUUAUGCAUUGAUUGUUUAAAAUUUAAGACAUGAGAGAAUCAAACAUGAUAAGUUUAUUUUCAAAAUUAAAAAUUUUAGGUUGUUUCCCUGAAUUGAUGUAUUAUCUUGAAGUUUUAAAUUUACAAGUUUGACAUCAAAACCAUAAUUUUUUGUGAGAUUUUGAGCCUUUAAAGCAUACAAUUUUCUUGCUCAUUUUAUUAUUGGUUAUGAGUGUGUCAAUUUGGUUUGUUAUUCUAGAACUUGCUUCGAUUAUGCAUGUCGAGACCACACCUUUGAGUUGAUAUAUUGAGAUGAUAGAGGCACUUAGGUUUUAACCCACUUAUUCCAUAAAAAGCCUACUUACAUAAUUAACCCUUAGAGAACCCCUUUGAGCCUAACACGACAUUUUUUGAUUUACCCAUUAAUGUUAACCCAUAACUCAUUUUUUUAUUUGAUGAGAAUUUUUCCCGUUUUAUUGACUCCCUUUUUGUCGAGAUUUGAUUUGGUUAGUUACCUAACUAUGCUCCUUUGUUUCAUUUACUGAGUUAUUUCUUAUUGUUCUCAAAUAUAUAUAUAUUUACAUAUAUAUUGAUUAUUACUUAGUUCUAUGUUAAUUGAGCUUGAACAGUUAAAUUCAUAUUUUGAGAAGAAGCUCAUGUUAUUCUUGAAUAGUUUUCGAUUGAUGUAAUUGUUUUUAAUUCAGCAUUUGUGUUUUUUUUAAUUUGGUAAUUUAUCAAUUCAAUCUCGAUUUUAACUAAUUUUUUCAGCCUUUCUCCAUAGCCUUUAACCUAAGCCUCAUUACAACCUCUUAAAGACCUUUUGAUUUGUGCAUCAUGUCAUUUUAUAGUGGUGGAGAUUUGAUUUUUAUGCAAGCCUAUGGUAAUGACUUUUUAGGUUUGACUAUAUAGUGCUUAUUUUUGGACCUUAAACACUUUGAGUGAUUUGAGUAAAUCUUUAGUAAGGAUGUUGAUUCUUGUCGAUUUUGAAUUAAAGGUAAUUACUUCGAUAAGAGGAAAUACCUAUGUUUUCAUGCUUUAAAAAUGUUUGACUUGGACUAUUUGAAUCUUUAGUGCUCUUUUAGUUGAAUUAUCAAUGUAUGAUUAUUUGUGAAUUAUGACAAAACAUUAUUGAUGAGAAUUAUAAGUUGAGAAAGAUUAAUUUUAAUUGUCAGUUGAGGAUUUUGCUUGAGGAUAAGCAAACGCUUAAGUGUGGGGAUAUUUGAGAAGCUAUAAAAGUAACAUAUUUUAAUCCCAUUCUUAAUGUAUUUUUGGAUGAUUAAUGAUGUAAAUUAGUGAAUUUGAUGCUCCUAAUCCUUUAAAUUCAUGUUUCUAUACUUAUGUGAGCAUAGGGGAGCGAAACAAACAAAAGAACAAGCCAAAAUCGAGUAAAAAGAGCUAUUUUUAGCAUCCACACGACCUAAGCAUUUCCACAUGGGCUGGCCACAUGCUCGUGUGGGCCACAAGAGUUGGCCACACACCCAUGUGUCAGCCCGUGUCGAUUUCACACCCUGCUUCCAGAACAUGUGGAAAAACCCAAUUUUUAGGCUUUUUAAGCAUUCUAAAGUCUAUAAAUAUCAAUUAGAAAAAUAUCUAAGGGGGCACGUAGAGAAGAUUGAAAAAUUACUCGAAGAACACCAUCAGAGCCAACUCAGAAGCGGAUCUCCUUCAAGAUUGAAGAUCUCCUUUUAACUUCAUCCAAAGUUUAUUUGAAUUUCUUUAUGUCUUGUAGUUUUUCUGACUUCGAGAUGUUUUCUUUUCAGAUUAUGAACUAAAUCCCCUAGAUACCUACGGAUGAUGAAACCUAUGAUGAAUCUUAUUAUUUGAUUUCUGAAUUACAUGAUAAAUACUUGAUUCUUGCUCUCAAUUAUGUAUACUUAUUUCGUGCUUUAAUAUUUUAGGGAUAUUAAUUCAUGUUUAAUGUUCUUAUUUCAGUGGAGCAAAAGUCCCUAUUUAAAAGUAGAUCUAGCAUAACUGGGUAGAGUUGCAUGAAAUCCUAGAAAUAUGACGACAUAAAUCUACCGGGUUAGAGUCAAAUCUAAUAGAGGAAUCCAUAGAUCAAGUUAAUGCGACAAUAGGGGGUUUAAUUAGAAAGAGAUUUCGAUUAAUUAACCUAGACUCAGUUGUUCUUACUCUCGAAAGAGAUAUUAACAUAAUUUAGGAAUUUUUACGGAUCAAGACACAAGUGAAUAAAUUAUUUAACUCAUAUUCGAAAUAAUAAGUGAAGUCUAGGUGGAUUCUUUCCUAGGUAUUUUCUUUCUCUUUGGCUAUCUUCAAAUAUUUUCCUAAUUUAUUCUCUGUCGCGUUCUUAGUUAAUUUAGAUUAGUAAAUUUAGAUUAGAACAAUCAUCCCAAUUUAUCGGCUAAAUAAUAGAAAAAUAGUAGUUACUAGUACUUUUAGUCCUCGUGGAUACGAUAUUCCCUACUCACCAUAACUUUACUAUUGUUCAAUAGGUGCACUUGCCUUUGUCGUAAUUAUAGUUAGUUUAGUGACCACCAAGAAGCAGUAGUUAAUGUUUGCUUUGUUGAACGCCAUGAUAUGGCAGUACCCCCACAUGUGAAUAAAUAUCCUAUUUGAGAUCACUCUUUAUGUGAAUACAAUAAGUAUCCAGCACCAGCAUAGCCGACUAAUAAGGAUUUUGAAUCAUUUGAAUAAAAUAACCCCAUAUCAAUAGUCUCUUUGAAAUAUUUAAUUAUUUGUUUAAUUCCAUUCUAAUGUCUACGUGUUGGAGAAGAACUAAAUCUUGUUAACAAGUUUAUAGCGAAAGCAAUAUCAAGUCUUGUGUUGUUUGCAAGAUAUAUCAAUACCCCUUUAACACUUAAAUAUAGUACUUUAGGACCAAGAAACUCUUCACCAUCCUCACAAGGAUGAAAUUAACCUUUAUUCACAUCUAAUAAUCGUACAACCAUCGGAGUGCUUAAUGGGUGUGUUUUAUCCAUGUGAAAUUUCUUUAAUAUCUUUUCCGUAUAAGCUGAUUAAUGAACAUGAAUUUCAUUUUUUAAAUGCUCGAUUUUUAAGUAAAGAUAAAAUUUUAUUUUUCCAAAAUCUUUCGUCUCAAAUUCUUUCUCUAAACAAUUUAUUAUAUUUUGAAGCUCUUCAGGAGUUCCAAUAAUAUUUAGAUUAUCAACAUAAACACAAUUAUCACAAAAUCUAAUCCAAAGCUUUUUAUAAAGACACAUGGACAAAUUGGAUCAUUUUUGUAACCUUCUUUGAACAAUUAUUCACUAAGACAAUUGUACCAUGUACGUCCAGAUUGUUUUAAUCCAUAUAAACUUUACUUUAAUCUGAUCGAGCAAUUUUUGUGAGAAACUCUAUAUCCUUUUGGGAUUUAAAAUCCUUCAGGGAUUUUCAUAUAAGUUUCACUAUCAAGUGUUCCAUAUAAAUAGGAUGUAAUGACAUCAAUUAGAUGGAUGUCAAGUUUUUCAUGUACUGCCAGACUAAUAAGAUAUCUAAACGUGAUUGUAUCCACCACAAGAGAAUAUGUCUCUUCAUAAUUAAUGUCCGGCCUUUGCGAAAAUCCUUGUGCUACAAGGCGAGCUUUAUAUCUUACGACUUCAUCAAUUUCAUUUCGUUUUCACACAAAUACCCAUUUAUAACCUAUCGGCUUUACACCUUCAUGUGUUUGGACUACAGGUCUAAAAACUUCACGUUUAGAAAGUGAAUUCAAUUAUGCUUGAAUUGCAUCUAUCUAUUUUUGCCUAUCUUUUCUAUUUUUACAUUCCUCAGUUGAUUUAGGCUCAAGAUCCUCAUUUUCUUUUGUUAUUUCAAUAACAACAUUAUAAGCAAAAUUGUUGUUGACAACUACAUUUUUUUUUUGGUUUCAUCUUUUUCUCGUAUUGACAUAACUUAUCGAUAUCUCUUUAUUUUCAUCAUUUUCUUUUUCACUUUUAGGUACCUAAAUCUCUUCUUGAGUUUUAUAAUUAGUUAUGUCAUGGGUCUCUUUAGGAACCCUUGCCUCUACUAUAUGACCAUCUUAAAUGUUUACUUUUUUUUCUUUUACAAGGAUUUUUAUCUUUGGAACCGAGCGGUCUUCCAUGCUUCAGGCACAGAUUAUUUUCUUUUGCACCCACAGUUUGCCCUAUUAGGACAUCAAUUUGUAUUGGAGCAUUUUCAAUUGGUAUGUGAGAUUUAAUGAAUUUGACAGUUGAUUUGUAAAAUGAAUUAUCUGUUGAACUUCAGGUUCACAUUACUUUGUAUGAGGAUCUUAGACAUUGAUAAUUCAUUUCAAGUACUUUAUUAAUCCAGCUUUUUAUCGUCUCCCCUUAAUGUUGGGAAAACUGACAACUCAUGUCAUAAUUAAAUCAUGAAUUAAUAGCUCAAAAAUAUUAUAAAGAGAAUCAUAUAAAUAUAUAUUCUCAAUCUUUUAUUACGACCCAUCUUUGUGCGUUGUGGUGGAGCAGUUGGAACACAUACCGCACAUCCAAAAAUUGUAAGAUGGGAAAUAUUUGGCUCUUGACCAAAAAUCAAUUGUAAUUGGUAGUAUUUAUAAUUUAUUGGCUUGAUGCGUACAACAUGUAAAUCAAUACAAUCUCAUGCUAAAAUAGGAAGUAUUGUUCUCAUAAGUAACGGUUUAGAUAUUAACCAGAGGCGUUCAAUCAAUAAUUUCUCUAAAUCAUUAUGCGCAUGAAUAACAAACUUUUACAAAAGUUUUUCAAACUCAAUCAAUAAAAGACUGAGAUAUAAACUCAUCAGUAUUAGCAAGACGAAUUGUCUUAAUUGCAUGAUAUGAAAUUAAUUAUUUAAACAAGCAAUCUUGCAAACAACAGGUUGCAAGUUGAUAACACAUACGUGAUUAUUUUGUAGAUGCAUCUACCAUAAUCAUAUAAUAUCAAAAUCAUCCACAUGGUGGAUGAAUGAGCCCAUAUUUAUUUCAAAAAUGCAAGACAUUAAAUCUCAACUUUAGCUACUGAGUUUCUAAGAAUCAAUUUUCAUUGAGAACAAACAACAAAUGAGAAUUCUUUAAAUUAAAGAAUCUUCUGGUCCUUUAAUGAAUAUUCAUAUGAGUUCUCAAUUAAUUUUCGCAUCAUAUAUGAUCCAAGAUGGUCUAACUGGUCACGCCAAGUAGUAAAUGUGUUUGUAUUAGUAAACUUCUUGUUUACUUUAACAUGUUUUUCAAUUGUACUAAUAAUGUAAAUAUAAAUUUUGACAAUUGAUAAUUUUAUUAUCAUUCUUUUUAAUUUGUAUCCACAUAUAAAUACUAUUGAGACAUCUACUACUGAAAAUGUCUAAAUCAAUGUGAAGUCUAUAGUGCCACUAAAUUAAUAAAUAAAUAUAAUUUUCAAACAAUUUUAUGUAAUUUUCGCUUCAGGAAAUAUGUCAAAAUAUUCAAAUAUAUAGCAUUUAGUCUAAUGAUAUGAUUCUCGCUUAGAGUGCCAGAGGUCCCGAGUUUAAUUCAAAAUAUAAAUAACUCAAUCCUCUUUUGAUUCAUAUGAAAUAUAAUAUUUUUCCUCAUUCACAAUCUCAAUAUGAGAUCCAUUAUGAAUAUAUUUUAAAACUAAUGCAUUAACCAUCACAAACUUGGUGCUUUUUAGAUAUUUAUAUAUUAGCUCUUUUGAAGCUUUCAACUAAUUUUGUACUAUCAAAUAUUAGAAUAUAUUUGUUUAUUUCAGUACCAAAUAAGAUAAAUAUUUUCUAUCUGUAAUGAUAAAGUUCAUUGCUACAUUCUCAUAUCCUUCCUUAAAGAAUAUUAACAGAAACAAAAUAUUUUUGCAUACACCACAUAUGUGACUAAUAAUCUUUCAUAUCACAUUGAUAACAUAAGUUACCUUUACCCUUUAAAAAGUUAUCUUGAGAACUCUCAUUGUUGUCUUAUUUAUUACUAUGUUUCCAGUUUUAGUUGUCCAUAAGUAUAUCUUUUAUUUUAUUUAUGUUUAUAUUCUUUAUUUCAUAAUCACCAUCGCAAACAUUUGUGAGAUUUCAAAUCAAAAUCUAUCUAUUCAUGUUGUCAUGAUUAGUCUCCAAUUAUAAAAAAAAAACAUGAUAUAAUAAAUAAAACAUAGUAAAAUAUACCUAAAGAUUUUUAACAUCAUCGUCAUCACAUUGACUAUUAUCACGAGCACUAUUACAAGUAGUAAAACAAUUUUGUUUUCGUAAUAACAUUUAUAAUCUAAUAGUAAAAUUCAUUUAAUAAAUAAUCAAAAUUUUCAUGUACGAUGCUUGAAAAUUAUUCGAUACACAUUAUACAAAAUUUCAAUAUCACAUAUAUGUUAUAAAAUCUUAUCUUGCUCUAAUAAAAUAUUUAUAAGUUCAAUUUAAAAGAUAUGAUACAAUCAUUCAGCAUUAGCAAGUUAAUAAGACUCAAUAGAUCCUAUCAAAUUUCCCUUUAAUCAACAAUGGUAGGUUAAUAACACUCUCCAUCAUAAUUAAAAUUUUAAGAAUAUUUAAUAAAAAAUAAAAAGAAUUUAAUAAUAAAAACAUCUAAAUUAUGCAUAAUAUAACUUAAUUAAAAAUAACUUCAAAAAAAUGAUUUACCAAAAAAAAUGAUAGAGAAAACAUACUAUAUAUUAAUAGUAAAUAUAUCUAAUCAACAAUUAUGUCUUUUACAUAAAAAAAUUAAACCUAGAAAGGCAAAAAUCAAAUACCAUCAGAAUGUAAAAUUUAUGUUAAAUAAAAAUUAAUAGUAGUCAUACCUUAAUUCAAAAAAAAAAUGAAGUUGUACAAUAAAUCUAUACUUUACCCAUGCUUGUACAAUAAAUCAAAGAUCAUGAAUAAGAAUUGUAACACCCCUUACCCGUAUCCAACACCGGAAUAGGGUACGAGGCAUUACCAGAACACAUACACUUGUAAACGUAUUUAACCGAGUUAUAAAAUUUCAUCUAAAUUAAAACCUUCAAAAUUAUUAACAUGCUUUUAUAACUCUUCACAAUAUAUCCUCAAAAUAUUAUAGUCUUAAUAAAUAUGGCCUAUGAGAUCCGAUACAUACUCAUGCAAUUCAAUGCUUCAUUUCCAUUUCAUUCAAUUUGCAAUUUCUCAUGCUCACAAUUUAAAUCAUAUCACUAGCAAAUUUUCAUUUAAUUCACGUACAAUUCAAUGCCACUAAGUUUAACACUAAUAUGUAAUUACCAUUUAAUUCAACGUUUAUUGACUAUACCAUUCAUUAACACGUUUAUGAAAUUCUCAAUUCAAUAACUUAUUCUAUUAAAUUCAAGUAUUAUUUCGCUAUUUCAAAUUAUUUUAUUUUCACUUCUCAUUUUUACAUCAUUUUAUAUUACCAAAAUCUAUUUCAUAAAAUUUAUCCUUAUCUGACAUUAAAUCACACACAUACUUUUCAUUACAAUUAUCACUACUAAUAAACAAUUCAAUCUUUUAAUAUUAUCAACUAAUUAUAUAUAACUAUCAUUCUUAUUUCUUUAUUUCAAAUUUCACUUUUCACAUAUGUCUUAUCAUUCAGACUUAGUUUUAUCAGUAACUUUAUUUCAUUUGCCCCUAUUAACUUGACUCGGACUCGACGGAUACACGGAUUCCAACCAAACACACCAGUAUACAGUAAUCAGUAACGGUAGCAGUAACAGUAUUCAACACACAAAGUGCUGAAUCUGUAACAGUAACGGUAACAGUAUUCGACACACAAAGUGCCGAAUCGAUAACAGUAACAGUAACAGUAUUCGACACACAAAGUGCCGAGUCGGUAACAGUAACAGUAACAGUAUUCGACACANNNNNNNNNNNNNNNNNNNNNNNNNNNNNNNNNNNNNNNNNNNNNNNNNNNNNNNNNNNNNNNNNNNNNNNNNNNNNNNNNNNNNNNNNNNNNNNNNNNNAGUAAGCCGGCAAAUACCCCGUACUCUUCCAUAUCCUAUGGCAUGCCAACUAUAUCCGACUAGCCCGACUAGUUAAUAGGGUAUUUAAUUCACUUUCCAGUAUAAAUUUCCAUCUUAGUUCAGUAUCAAUUAUAAUUUCUUAUUUCAAUCAGUUUCAUAGUAUUGCAGUAAUUCAUUAUUUCAGUAUUUUCACAGUUCAAUGCCGUAUACAUAACAAUAUUCAGUAUUCCGUAAUUCAGUUCAGUAUCAGUCUCACAUAUCAAUUUCCACUUUCUCAGUUUCAAUUCCAAUAAAAUCCAUAUCAAUCACCAAUUUCAAUGUUCCAGUUUAAUUCAAUAAUUCAAUUCAAACCAUUUCAAUUUCUAUUCAAUAAUCACAUUUCAAUGCAUAACUUAUAAAUUUAACGUGACAUAAUUCAGCCACUACUUGGCCAAAGCCUAAGCAUGUAUACCAAAUAUGUUAGCCAAAUACACAUAUAACAUAAGCAUUAUAAGCAUGGAUGAGCACAACAUUUAUUAAUGUGCCACAUUUACCAACAGGUGUUAAUUCAUAAACCAUUCAUGACAUUACUUCAUGCCCAAUCAUAUACCAAUUAUACUAUUCACACAUACUAUGAAACUUUAUUUUCACACAUGAGCUUAAACCAUGUCCAAUAAUGCACAAAUAUAAGCAUCAUUUCUAUUUUAUCGUUUAUCAAUUAUAAUCAGGCAUAUGACCAAUUAUACACAAAUCAUUCAUACAUUUCCCAAUUUUCCUCCUCCUCCUCUCCAUUCCACAUCCUUAAUGUGUAUAAUACACUUAAACAACAUUAACUAUAAUUUCACUAUUCACUCACAUGUAUAUUCAAAACUGUUUAUCCGAGUCAGAGUCACUAAAUUAUUUUUAUCCGGAGAUACAGAGCUCCAAAUUAAGAUCCGUAAAUUUUCCCCGAAACUAGAUUCACAUAUCUUCUUACCAUAAAAUUUUCAGAAUUUUUGGUUUAGCAAAAUAGUACAGUUUAUUCUUUAAAGUUUCCCCUGUUUCGCUGUCUAACAGUUCCGACCACUCUUCACUAAAAAUUAAUUAUCUCACUGUACAGAAUUCGGAUGAUGUUUCCGUUUAUUUCUUAUGAAAAUAGACUCAUUAAGGAUUCUAACCAUAUGAAUUAUAACUCAUAAUAGUUUUUGUACAAUUUUUAAUGAUUUUCCAAAGUCAGAACAGGGGAACCCGAAUUCAUUCUGACCUUGUCUCACAAAAUCCAUUAUAUCUCAUGAUUUACAAUUCCAUUGCUUACACCGUUUCUUUUAUAAGAAACUAGACUUAAUAAGCUUUAAUUCCAUAUUUUAUUCAUCCUCUAAUUCAAUCUCUACAAUUUUUGGUGAUUUUUCAAAGUUAGACUACUACUGCUGUCCAAAACUGUUUUAGUGCAAAAUGUUGAUUUCCAUUUUGCCCCAAAUUUCACAGUUUAUACAAUUCAGUCCUUUCUCAAUUAACCCCUCAAUUGAUCUAAUUCUCUCAAUUAAUACUUUACCUAGACAUUAUAAGUUAUUUCACAACUAUUGAAAUUCAGAAUUUCCACAUAUAGCUCUAACUUCAAACUCUUUUACUAUUAGGUCCCAAACAUUCACUUUCUAUUCAAUUCUUUCAAUAAAAUCAGCAUAUGAACAAUUUAAAGCUCUAAUUCCAUGAUAAAUUAUCAUAUACUUCCAGCACAUAUUCAUAUCAACUUUCAACUUCGCAUUUGUUAUAAUUUAGUCCUUUUUGUUCAAUUAAUUAUCAGAACUUUAAAAUUUCUUAACGAAACUUUAAUACUAACUUUUUAACGCUCCAUAAAUAUUUAUAAAAAUAUUUAUGGCUCGAUUUAAGAUCUUCGAGGUCUCGAUACCUCAUUUUUUUAUUCUAAUUAUUUUAAUAUUUAUUUCUAGUGCACUAUUCACUAUUUCAAAAAUUUUCCUAACUCAACAUUUAACUUAUACUCACUAAAUUAAUAAUAUUUUCUACUCAUUUGUCGAAUUUAGUGAUCUCAAAUCACCGUUCCGACACAUCUGAAAAUUCAGGCCAUUACAUUUUUUUUUCUCGUCGGAUUCGUGGUCCCAAAACCACUGUUCCGACUAGACCCAAAAUUGGGCUAUUACAACUCUCCCCCCUUUAAGGAUUUUCGUCCCCGAAAAUCUUACCAGAAGAAGUUACUUCCAACCCUCAUGAAACACUUUCACUAACUUUUCAGAAUCACUAAUCAAUUUAAUCUCAUAUAUAUAUAUAUAUAUAAAUAUUUUUUUUAAAUAAAUAUAUUUCUAUAUCAUAGUUUUUGAAAUAUAAAUUUUUUUUCAUUCUAACUAACUGUCUUCAUACUCAUGAAUGCACAGAAUUUAUUCUCUUAGCUAAGGACAUGCUUAAAUACAUAUAACUCAAAGACACAAUCUUUCAACAUUCUUUUAGCAUACAAAUCACCAGAAUCACCAUAUUUUAGCUCUGGAAUUUCAUCGCAGCAAAACAACACACUUUCUAAAUAUGCAUACAAAACAGAACAAUAACCGAUCACAAACCGGCCAAUCCAACUGGGCUUUCGUCUGACAUCUUAUUUAACUAACAUUCUCAUAACAUAAGAAGUCCAUUAGAAACUGCACAAUUAUACACAUAUCUCUGAGAAUAAAAGAAUAUAUAGAAUAUCCAAAAAAAAAUCAUCGUGUUCAUUUCGAUUGUAAUCGUCACACACAGGCAUUUUUACCACUUCAUUUUCAUUUCUCUCACUAAUUCUGUUAUCACGGACCUCACAUUAUUCUAUUCACUAACAAUCUGAUAUUUCUUUUAAAACUAAGUUCAUCUAUUACACUAGGCUCAACUCUGUUUGCAUUACUAAUUAUUUGACCACUGAACUCUUUACUUUACAGUUAUAGGUUUAUUCAACAUGAUUCUCGUAAAAAUUUCGUUAUAAAACAAUACUGAUAAAGGGGGUGAGGUCAUAAAGCUUCUAACUUAUUCUCAUAAAUACAUAAAUAAAUAACUUAACAUUCAUCAUCAAUGUAAUACCAUCAUAACCACCUAGUUCAUUCAUAUAUUUUAUCACAUAUAGGGGUCACACGCCCGUGUGUCUACCCGUGUGGACAAUAUUUUAUUACAUUCAAGUACCAAUUUAAGAUAUUCAACUAAGUCUUAUAGUUUUCACCAUUUGUUCAUUUCAUAGCCAUACCAAUAACCAUCAUUUUCUUGUAUUUAAGAUAAAUACAUAUAUCCAUACAUAAGCAUGCAAUUCACUAUUCUUCCUGUCAAUCACAAUUUCAAAUGACAGACUCAUGUAAAUGAGCUCAAUUUCACUGUUCAAUAUGGUUUAUCACAUAAAAUUUGCUUAACACUUACCACAAUUUGUCAAAUCAGAGAACGUCUUACGGAAUUGAGUACUUCAUUUUCUCGAUGCCAUAGUCCAACUAUGGUCUUACACGUAAUCACAUAUCACAUACCGAUGCCAUAGCCCAGCUAUGGUCUUAUACGGAAUCACAUAUCACUUACCGAUGACAUAUCCCAAAUAUGGUCUUACACGGAAAUCACAUAAUCACAUUUUCACAUGUUGCCAUGAUCAAACCAUGGUAUUUUCCGUCAAUUUAUCACAUAUCACUGAACGAAAGUACUCAUUCCUGCGUUCUACUCAAUUUGACCUUUUAGUUCUUCUUUUUUUUUAUUUUUAUUUUUCAUAUACUUGAGUAUCGUUUUCAACAUUAUCGAAAUUAGCUCAGUUGAGAAAGCAUUCAUGUUUAUGAGUAAAAUAAAUCUCACCAGAGUCGAAAGAUAUUACACUAUCAUAGGUUAUAUAAUGGCAUGUAUUUCCAAACUUCACAUAUGUUACGUUUGGUCCGAGAACCGACUAAACCGUAGCUCUGAUACCACUAAAUGUAACACCCCUUACCCGUAUCCAACACCGGAAUAGGGUACGAGGCAUUACCAGAACACAUACACUUGUAAACGUAUUUAACCGAGUUAUAAAAUUUCAUCUAAAUUAAAACCUUCAAAAUUAUUAACAUGCUUUUAUAACUCUUCACAAUAUAUCCUCAAAAUAUUAUAGUCUUAAUAAAUAUGGCCUAUGAGAUCCGAUACAUACUCAUGCAAUUCAAUGCUUCAUUUCCAUUUCAUUCAAUUUGCAAUUUCUCAUGCUCACAAUUUAAAUCAUAUCACUAGCAAAUUUUCAUUUAAUUCACGUACAAUUCAAUGCCACUAAGUUUAACACUAAUAUGUAAUUACCAUUUAAUUCAACGUUUAUUGACUAUACCAUUAAUUAACACGUUUAUGAAAUUCUCAAUUCAAUAACUUAUUCUAUUAAAUUCAAGUAUUAUUUCGCUAUUUCAAAUUAUUUUAUUUUCACUUCUCAUUUUUACAUCAUUUUAUAUUACCAAAAUCUAUUUCAUAAAAUUUAUCCUUAUCUGACAUUAAAUCACACACAUACUUUUCAUUACAAUUAUCACUACUAAUAAACAAUUCAAUCUUUUAAUAUUAUCAACUAAUUAUAUAUAACUAUCAUUCUUAUUUCUUUAUUUCAAAUUUCACUUUUCACAUAUGUCUUAUCAUUCAGACUUAGUUUUAUCAGUAACUUUAUUUCAUUUGCCCCUAUUAACUUGACUCGGACUCGACGGAUACACGGAUUCCAACCAAACACACCAGUAUACAGUAAUCAGUAACGGUAGCAGUAACAGUAUUCAACACACAAAGUGCUGAAUCUGUAACAGUAACGGUAACAGUAUUCGACACACAAAGUGCCGAAUCGAUAACAGUAACAGUAACAGUAUUCGACACACAAAGUGCCGAGUCGGUAACAGUAACAGUAACAGUAUUCGACACACAAAGUGCCGAAUCAGUAACAGUAACAGUAGUCGGCACAUAAGUGCCUAAUCAGUAAGCCGGCAAAUACCCCGUACUCUUCCAUAUCCUAUGGCAUGCCAACUAUAUCCGACUAGCCCGACUAGUUAAUAGGGUAUUUAAUUCACUUUCCAGUAUAAAUUUCCAUCUUAGUUCAGUAUCAAUUAUAAUUUCUUAUUUCAAUCAGUUUCAUAGUAUUGCAGUAAUUCAUUAUUUCAGUAUUUUCACAGUUCAAUGCCGUAUACAUAACAAUAUUCAGUAUUCCGUAAUUCAGUUCAGUAUCAGUCUCACAUAUCAAUUUCCACUUUCUCAGUUUCAAUUCCAAUAAAAUCCAUAUCAAUCACCAAUUUCAAUGUUCCAGUUUAAUUCAAUAAUUCAAUUCAAACCAUUUCAAUUUCUAUUCAAUAAUCACAUUUCAAUGCAUAACUUAUAAAUUUAACGUGACAUAAUUCAGCCACUACUUGGCCAAAGGCCUAAGCAUGUAUACCCAAAAUAUGUUAGCCAAAUACACAUAUAACAUAAGCAUUAUAAAGCAUGGAUGAGCACAACAUUUAUUAAUGGUGCCCCACUUUUUACCAAACAGGGUGUUAAAUUCAUAAACCAUUGACAUUNNNNNNNNNNNNNNNNNNNNNNNNNNNNNNNNNNNNNNNNNNNNNNNNNNNNNNNNNNNNNNNNNNNNNNNNNNNNNNNNNNNNNNNNNNNNNNNNNNNNNNNNNNNNNNNNNNNNNNNNNNNNNNNNNNNNNNNNNNNNNNNNNNNNNNNNNNNNNNNNNNNNNNNNNNNNNNNNNNNNNNNNNNNNNNNNNNNNNNNNNNNNNNNNNNNNNNNNNNNNNNNNNNNNNNNNNNNNNNNNNNNNNNNNNNNNNNNNNNNNNNNNNNNNNNNNNNNNNNNNNNNNNNNNNNNNNNNNNNNNNNNNNNNNNNNNNNNNNNNNNNNNNNNNNNNNNNNNNNNNNNNNNNNNNNNNNNNNNNNNNNNNNNNNNNNNNNNNNNNNNNNNNNNNNNNNNNNNNNNNNNNNNNNNNNNNNNNNNNNNNNNNNNNNNNNNNNNNNNNNNNNNNNNNNNNNNNNNNNNNNNNNNNNNNNNNNNNNNNNNNNNNNNNNNNNNNNNNNNNNNNNNNNNNNNNNNNNNNNNNNNNNNNNNNNNNNNNNNNNNNNNNNNNNNNNNNNNNNNNNNNNNNNNNNNNNNNNNNNNNNNNNNNNNNNNNNNNNNNNNNNNNNNNNNNNNNNNNNNNNNNNNNNNNNNNNNNNNNNNNNNNNNNNNNNNNNNNNNNNNNNNNNNNNNNNNNNNNNNNNNNNNNNNNNNNNNNNNNNNNNNNNNNNNNNNNNNNNNNNNNNNNNNNNNNNNNNNNNNNNNNNNNNNNNNNNNNNNNNNNNNNNNNNNNNNNNNNNNNNNNNNAUUUUUGGUGAUUUUUCAAAGUUAGACUACUACUGCUGUCCAAAACUGUUUUAGUGCAAAAUGUUGAUUUCCAUUUUGCCCCAAAUUUCACAGUUUAUACAAUUCAGUCCUUUCUCAAUUAACCCCUCAAUUGAUCUAAUUCUCUCAAUUAAUACUUUACCUAGACAUUAUAAGUUAUUUCACAACUAUUGAAAUUCAGAAUUUCCACAUAUAGCUCUAACUUCAAACUCUUUUACUAUUAGGUCCCAAACAUUCACUUUCUAUUCAAUUCUUUCAAUAAAAUCAGCAUAUGAACAAUUUAAAGCUCUAAUUCCAUGAUAAAUUAUCAUAUACUUCCAGCACAUAUUCAUAUCAACUUUCAACUUCUUUCAUAAAAUCAAAAACUAAUGAAUUCAACAAGUGGGCCUAGUUGUAAAAGUCAUAAAAAUACAAAAAUUUCAAGAAAUGAUCAAGAAUUGAACUUACUUGCAGUAAAAAUAUGAAGAACCAGCUUGAAGAAACCCUUCCAUGGUGUUUUAGCUGAUGAGAAU
rnacentral:lncRNA from 1 species